rnacentral:rRNA from 2 species
UACGUAGGUCCCGAGCGUUGUCCGGAUUUAUUGGGCGUAAAGCGAGCGCAGGUGGUUUAUUAAGUCUGGUGUAAAAGGCAGUGGCUCAACCAUUGUAUGCAUUGGAAACUGGUAGACUUGAGUGCAGGAGAGGAGAGUGGAAUUCCAUGUGUAGCGGUGAAAUGCGUAGAUAUAUGGAGGAACACCGGUGGCGAAAGCGGCUCUCUGGCCUGUAACUGACACUGAGGCUCGAAAGCGUGGGGAGCGAACAGG